rnacentral:rRNA from 1 species
UACAGAGGGUGCGAGCGUUAAUCGGAAUUACUGGGCGUAAAGCGCACGUAGGUGGCGACGUAAGUCGGGUGUGAAAGCCCCGGGCUCAACCUGGGAAUUGCAUUCGAGACUGCAUUGCUGGAGUACGGAAGAGGAAGGCGGAAUUCCCGGUGUAGCGGUGAAAUGCGUAGAUAUUGGGAAGAACACCGGUGGCGCAAGCGACUUGCUGGGCUGUAACUGACGCUGAGGAACGAAAGCUAGGGUAGCGAAUGGG